rnacentral:sRNA from 1 species
UGAUGGAACGGUGCUUGGGGCCGGUGGCCUGGCUACGGUCCCAGGAGGUCCCGGUGACUUGUGUCUAGGCCCCGGCAGUCGGCG